UAUCCAGGUCUGGUGAUGUCACUUCCUGGUUCUCCUCUCCAGUCAGUUCAGAUGUCAGAUGGUUGUUGAUGUUCAGCUGAGAGUCAACAUGUAUAAACCUGUCAUGAUUAUCACUGUCCUACUACUGUGUCUCCCAGGUCUCUUUCUCUGUGUUGAGGUUCACCAGACUCCCUCUGGAGUCAUCAGCAGACCUGGAGAGAAUGUCCAACUCUUCUGCCACCAUCAGAAAACAGACUACAGGGUCAUGCUGUGGUACCAGAAAUCACCAGGAGAAACAGCACUGAAUCUCAUAGGAUAUUUAAAUUAUAAGACAUCAGAGAGUGAAAAGCCAUAUGAUAAACGUUUUAAAAUUAGUGGGGACUUGGGUGGAGAACAGGCAAAGAAUGCAUCUCUGAACAUUUCUAACUUCACAUCUGAAGACACAGCUGUGUAUUUCUGUGCUGCUAGAUACGCACAGUGUUUCACUACACCCUCUCUGCUCUACAAAAACUUCUCAUUCACUCUCAGUAGAUGUAUACUGUAGCAACACCUCCAUCACAGCUGUAUCCAGGUCUGGAUGUGAUU
rnacentral:lncRNA from 1 species